rnacentral:tRNA from 1 species
UUGUUCUCCCGGCCGGCCGGGACGGAUUCGCCGCUCCCGUCGACGGGCCCGGAUACGGAUGCCGGGAUGACGGCUUCGGAUGCCGGGACAGCGGU